GCCACCACAGCGUUGCAGAGGACAGCAGCAGAGAACUCAUACGCCUUCUUGAUGUGGAGGCCGUUGCAGAAGGUGACCUGCCGGUUCGUGUUGUUCUCAGUCCUCCCCUUCCCCAUGCUGGAGAAGAUCUCAGCUGAAAAACCCCAGCUUCUUACUUUAGCUCCUUCAGCUACAAGAAUUGAUUUGUGUCUUGAUCAGAAGCAAAUAAAGUAUCGUAUCAGAUGCGAAAAUAAGCAACUAAAUCUAGCAAGCAAACUUUAGAAAGUUUAAAAACAGGCUGGAUAUAUGUGUGACUGAUAUAUAGCGUUUUUCCUUUUUUUUUUUCUUUCCCACAAUCCCACCCCAUAUAUGUAUGAAACAUUUAAGAUCUAGUACAUCGAGCUGCUGCGUGCUACUAGCUAGGAGGAGAAAUCUCAUCACAGAAGCAAAAAGUUGAAACCUUGCAAAGCUUAGUAACACGCAGGGAAAGACAGCACAGAUACUAUACAUAGUACAUAUAUAGAAAAAGCAGGAAAAACGGAAAUCAAGUGUAAACAAAGAAGCAUCAUCCAAGUAGUCAGCAGAAUUGAAGCUGGCGGCAUGGUUUAUUACCUUGAUGCAGGAACUCCAAGCACAGAAAAGGGGAGUUCUUUCCUCAGAAGGAGAAAGUACAGACGAGAUCGAUCGAUCAGC
rnacentral:lncRNA from 1 species